rnacentral:rRNA from 1 species
UACGUAUGGAGCAAGCGUUAUCCGGAUUUACUGGGUGUAAAGGGUGCGUAGGCGGCAGGGCAAGUCAGAUGUGAAAGACCGGGGCUUAACUCCGGGGCUGCAUUUGAAACUGCUUUGCUUGAGUCCGGGAGAGGCAGGCGGAAUUCCUAGUGUAGCGGUGAAAUGCGUAGAUAUUAGGAGGAACACCAGUGGCGAAGGCGGCCUGCUGGACCGGAACUGACGCUGAGGCACGAAAGCGUGGGGAGCAAACAGG